rnacentral:rRNA from 1 species
GGCGGACGGGUUAGUAACGCGUGGGAACGUGCCCAGAUCUACGGAAUAGCCACUGGAAACGGUGAGUAAUACCGUAUACGCCCUUCGGGGGAAAGAUUUAUCGGAUUUGGAUCGGCCCGCGUUAGAUUAGGUAGUUGGUGGGGUAAUGGCCUACCAAGCCUACGAUCUAUAGCUGGUUUUAGAGGAUGAUCAGCAACACUGGGACUGAGACACGGCCCAGACUCCUACGGGAGGCAGCAGUGGGGAAUCUUGGACAAUGGGGGCAACCCUGAUCCAGCCAUGCCGCGUGAGUGAAGAAGGCCCUAGGGUCGUAAAACUCUUUCGCCUGUGAUGAUAAUGACAGUAGCAGGUAAAGAAACCCCGGCUAACUCCGUGCCAGCAGCCGCGGUAAUACGGAGGGGGUUAGCGUUGUUCGGAAUUACUGGGCGUAAAGCGCACGUAGGCGGAUUAGAAAGUUAGAGGUGAAAUCCCGGGGCUCAACCCCGGAACUGCCUUUAAAACUACUAGUCUAGAGUUCGAGAGAGGUGAGUGGAAUUCCGAGUGUAGAGGUGAAAUUCGUAGAUAUUCGGAGGAACACCAGUGGCGAAGGCGGCUCACUGGCUCGAUACUGACGCUGAGGUGCGAAAGUGUGGGGAGCAAACAGGAUUAGA